rnacentral:rRNA from 1 species
GACGAACGCUGGCGGCGUGCUUAACACAUGCAAGUCGAACGGAAAGGCCCUGCUUUUGUGGGGUGCUCGAGUGGCGAACGGGUGAGUAACACGUGAGUAACCUGCCCUUGACUUUGGGAUAACUUCAGGAAACUGGGGCUAAUACCGGAUAGGAGCUCCUGCUGCAUGGUGGGGGUUGGAAAGUUUCGGCGGUUGGGGAUGGACUCGCGGCUUAUCAGCUUGUUGGUGGGGUAGUGGCUUACCAAGGCUUUGACGGGUAGCCGGCCUGAGAGGGUGACCGGCGACAUUGGGACUGAGAUACGGCCCAGACUCCUACGGGAGGCAGCAGUGGGGAAUAUUGCACAAUGGGCGGAAGCCGGAUGCAGCAACGCCGCGGGCGGGAUGACGGCCUUCGGGUUGUAAACCGCUUUCGCCUGUGACGAAGCGUGAGUGACGGUAAUGGGUAAAGAAGCACCGGCUAACUACGUG